UACAGGGGGUGCAAACGUUGCUCGGAAUUACUGGGCGUAAAGCGCACGUAGGCGGCUUUCUAAGUCGGGGGUGAAAUCCUGGAGCUCAACUCCAGAACUGCCUUUGAUACUGAGGAUCUUGAGUUCGGGAGAGGUGAGUGGAACUGCGAGUGUAGAGGUGAAAUUCGUAGAUAUUCGCAAGAACACCAGUGGCGAAGGCGGCUCACUGGCCCGAUACUGACGCUGAGGCACGAAAGCGUGGGGAGCAAACAGG
rnacentral:rRNA from 1 species